CAGGCCUCUGGGGUAGGGGUCGUUACCGUCAGCCCCACUGACGAGUCUUGGUAAACUAUUCCAAAGACGAAACGCCAU
rnacentral:hammerhead_ribozyme from 13 species